rfam:Hordeum vulgare subsp. vulgare, WGS project CAJW01000000 data, contig: morex_contig_63888
UUGCUACUCAUUCCGUCCGGAAAUACUUGUCCUAAAGAUGAAUGUAUCUAGACUUAUGUUAGUUAUAGAUACAUUUAUUAUAUUCAUUUUUAAGACAAGUAUUUUCGGACGGAGGGAGUAGAUU